CCAAAGGCUCUUUUAAGAGCCACCCACUUCUGCACGGAAAGAGCUU
rfam:Chelonia mydas contig258333, whole genome shotgun sequence.